ensembl:lncRNA
CUCUCUCUCUCUCUCUCUCUCUCUCUCUCUCAUAUCUCAGAAGUCUUGCUGACGGUGUUAGAUAUCGGCUUCUCUCUGCCAGGUGUAACGAUACGCCUGGUUAUUGAAAAAUUAAUAAAACAGAACCAAAUUCAAUCAAAGCGUUCAAUCUUGUCAAGGAAUGGAUGUAUAUGUCGGUAUCAGUUCUGUAUCAGGUGUAAGGGCUGCUCCAAACGAUAGCUGAUGAGGACUGUGACCGAUGAGUAAAGACUGGAUCGUCCUGGAAAAACAAAGAGUGUACCUGUCUCUUUUAUUGGUUCUGCUGACAAGAGAAUAUGUGUUAUCCACACAGAGGGCAAUGGAGAUACAGAGAGUGAGAGGGAGGGGGAUACAGAGGGAGGGAUAUACAGAGAGAGAGGGAGAGAGAGAGGGGUGGAGAGAGAGAGAGAAGGAGAGGAAUGGAUACCACAAACAAAAAAGGUACUUAUUAGAGGUCAAGAGAGAGAGAGAGAGAGAGAUCAUUGUUUUCGAUCCUAUGUCUCUGAAGAAGGCAACGUGAAACGACCAUGUAAGACCAUCUGAGAGCUAAAUGUGUGCGUGUGUGUGUUUGCGCGCACGUACGGAUUCUGUGGUGCUUGGUGUGUACAAAAAAAACAUACUAUGUAAUCAUCUAUAUAAAAUAAAAGAGAAACCUAAUGUAAUCUUCUGGAAUAAAAAAACAACAAUUAUUAUUCUAAACCAAAACAUAAUACUUACAAAUCCAUAAACCCUGGGGAAAAUGUGGUUAUGUUCAUAAAAGUUCACAGACAAGGCUCCGAUUGUUAUGAUUAGUAUCCGACAUCAUUGUGAAAAGGAUCCCUGCAGAAAAAUACAACAUUUCGCUUUGUCUUCUGCUCAAUCCUGUCGGCUUGUUAUUGGGUCUAACAAAUUCUCGCUCCGGGAGAAGACCCACGCUGUGUGCCAUGUUUGGUGUGAGAAAAUAAAUAAAAAGCACCAGUAGUGAUUUGUUUGUUUGCACUGAGACAUCUCCCCGGGAUUAAUGGAGGGUUAUCUUUACUAUAAAGGAAAACAAGUCUACCAAGUCUAACCAAAUAGACGUACCGUGGCUUAUAAUGUGGAAGGGAAGGUUCUCUACUGUACCGUCAACCCUGAAAUCCAAUAAUCUAAUUGGUCAGGCAACCAGAGUGAGUUGGCAUGGAUGGCCCAAACUAUUAUGGUAAAAAGAUGUUUGCUCGAGUCAAAACAAGUCUAGUGAAUACACUGCAAGGCACUGUGAACCUCGGGUUGAGUUUGAGGUUUUGGUAGAUUCCAUUUGUGCUGAAAAUCAUUUGCAGCCCGGGGUUAUUGGGCAAUAUUCCUUGGCCUGAUUUCCAAAGAGUCAACCAGCGUCACUUAUUGGAUCUCAAUUGCCAAACGAAUGUUGUAAUACGAAGUCCUUGGUAAAGCGCUUUGGAAGUGCUCACUCGGUUCUCGUCAAAAAAGUUUAAUUUCCUUUGCUGACGUAGGUUAUGAUGAGCACAAAAUCAGCUCUAAGCCCCAUUGUGGCUCCCAGAACAUACCUAUUCCAAAUGAAAGAAAAUGAAAGAAUUAUUACGUUAAAAAAAAACAUAAUAAAGGCUAGCAUUACAAAAGGACAAGGUUAGCAUUGGAAAGCCUUAAGCUAGG